rnacentral:rRNA from 1 species
AUACGGAGGGAGCAAGCGUUAUCCGGAAUCAUUGGGUUUAAAGGGUCCGCAGGCGGAUUAAUAAGUCAGUGGUGAAAUCCUCUCGCUCAACGAGAGAACUGCCAUUGAAACUGUUAGUCUUGAAUUCGGUCGAAGUAGGCGGAAUGUGUCAUGUAGCGGUGAAAUGCAUAGAUAUGACACAGAACACCGAUAGCGAAGGCAGCUUACUAGACCUGGAUUGACGCUCAUGGACGAAAGCGUGGGGAGCGAACAGGAUUAGAUACCCCUGUAGUCC